AGAGUGGGUUAGUCCACAACGAGCGCACCUUACUUUUAGUUGCCAUCAUUUAGUUGGGCACUCUGAAAGAACUGCCAGUGAUAAGCUGGAGGAAGGUGGGGAUGACGUCAAGUCCUCAUGGCCCUUAUGUGUUGGGCUACACACGUGCUACAAUGGCAUUUACAAUAGGAAGCAAGAUGGUGACAUUAAGCAAAUCCUAAAAAAAUGCCUUAGUUCGGAUUGUACUCUGCAACUCGAGUACAUGAAGCUGGAAUUACUAGUAAUCGUGGAUCAGCGUGCCACGGUGAAUACGUUCCCGGGUCUUGUACACACCGCCCGUCACACCAUGGGAGUUGGUUCUACCUUAAGGCAAGGUUUAAUACCCUUGACCACGGUAUAGUCAGCGACUGGGGUGAAGUCGUAACAAGGUAGCCGUAGGGGAACCUGCGGCUGGAUUACCUCCUUUCU
rnacentral:rRNA from 1 species